UUCUUGUAGAAAAAUGAUAUGGUGUGAAGAAAUAAUGCGAACCAGGUUCUCCAGUUUAAGGGAGUCAGGGUCAGCAGGUAUACCAUCACAGUUAAGAGUAACAAAAGAAAGUGGAGACUGGAGGCCAACCACCUAAUGGUUUCCUUGGGCUCGUGAGGUACCUGUUCCAGCAGGAGCAUCAGAUUCCAUCCCGCAGCCCCGUUUGUUCUGAGGGUUCAUAGUGACUUCAGGGAGGGGCCGAGUUGAGGGUGGGACUACCUCAUUGAUGAUGUUAAAGAUGGGGAUGGUGUCCAUAGAGCGCAUGUGAUUGGGGUCAUAGACAAAGUCAUCCGUAGAUGUCUUCAUGAAGUGACGCCAUGAUGGAUAAAGGAAGGUUUCUGCGCCGGAGCAAGAGCUAAAGGCGUCGCGCUUGUUGGCGUAACUGAAGUAAAUGUCUGAAAAGUUAGAUGCCAUGUAUGCCUUGAGUCCUCGUAGUUGAGGCAUCUGGUUGAUGACUGUGUUGAUAGUUGUGGCCAGUGGUUUCA
rnacentral:lncRNA from 1 species